AUAGGAGAUUUCUAUGCACCUGAGGUCUUCCUAAGGAUGUGUACAGCAUGCUCAUUUGUCUGGAACCUCUGAAUUCUUCAUCAACAAGACUGACAGAUAACAGUUCUGACCAGCUUGGCGAGUGCUAUGCAAAAGCUUGUGACUUGUGCUGCUGCUGGAACAUGGGAGGGCCUCUUAUCUGAACAAUUUCUAGGGGCUCGCUUCCUCCUCAGCACUCAUCUGGCCUGGAACCUUCUUCUAAAGCGAAACUGGUGGCAGAGUUUUCAAAAGAAAGAAAGAAGAAAAAAGAGAAGAGUAAAGGGGGGGGAGAAAAUGCCAACCUUAAUCUAGAGAAGUCUCUUCUUGUGAGCUUUGCAGCUCAGUUGUGAUUUUUUUCAGUUUGUGCACUUACCAUCUGACCUCCUGCAUAACCUCACCCUGCGUUGUGUCAGUGUGAGAAUCUGAGUUGCUGCUCGUGCCACCCCCGCCUCGAGAUCUGUGCAGAAGCCUUCACACAACAAAGAGAUUCCUAAAACUACUUAAAAGCCAACAAUUUCUGAACAAAAAUUAAAUGUGAUCUUUUAAGAUGAAAUGAGGAAUGCCAACUACUCUGUCUGGAAUGAAGUGGCAGAAGGCACGUUGGGUGCAGGUGCUGUUAAAUAAGAAAUGGCAGCUCUGAGAGCAGAACUAGAGCCCUGGGCCUGUCACCUGAAACAGCAAGUGUUCCUCGUUUGGUAUUGUCCAGCCUGGUUGUUGUCUUUGUGUUCCUUUUAAUAGGGUUUAACCCAUGAUAUCUCUCUGCAUCAAUAUCCCCCACAUGAUGACAAUCCAUGCUUUGAAGGCUUUUGAGAUAAACUACAGCUAUUUAAUAUUUUCUUUUACAUUCAGCGGGUCUUUUCAUGAAGGAGACCAUAGCGGUCGAGUUACACAGCCUAGCAUGGCUUUGUCAGUUGUAUGAUUGUUAUGUUUCCAUUUAUAUCACAAUCUCCUCUGUACUAUUCAGAUCCAGAAAGAGGGAGAAAAAAAAAAAGACUGCAGUUGUAUUUUCUGUUUGUAGAAAUGCAUUUGAUAGCUGGGGUAGGAGCUGUUUUCAUCAAGUUCAAUUUUUUAAUAAAAUCCAAUUUUCUUUUCGCAUCACAGCUACGCUGUGACAAAGGGUUUGCAGCAGGUGCCUCUCACAGAGAGGAUGGAAUUGUGGGGCUCACUUCCAGCUGCCAGCAUUGAGGCACUGUGGCCCAGAGGCCUCUCAGCACGCAGCAGCAGUGAGCUGGGCAGGACUGGGCUCCAGAGGGCCUUGUGCUACAGUGGGGAUGGAGGACAGGGCUCCGCAGCACAGCAAACCUGGAUGUUUUCUGAGCAAGAGCACCUCUUGCAACUGCCCCUGGUUUGCAUUGGAACCCCACACUUCCUCCUAGCACCCUCAGUGCUCAGCUGGGAGCUUUUAUGAGGGACAAAACAGUGAUAGCUGAUUCCUUCUCUUCCUCUAACUUUAGCUUCCAAAAUAUUCCUCGUCACAUUCUCUUCAAGUGGGCCACAGUGAAAUGGGCAGCUAUGAUGCUUCAGACCUGGGACAUGGGAAGGCCAGGAUGACUUUCACCUUCAGGGCCAAUGUGCAGUUGCCUGAAAAGGAUGCCCUGCCAUGGAUGCUGUACCUCUGUCACUGACAUUCAAAACCUGUGUUGAAAUAGAGAAAUCACAGAAGGUUAAACAGAAAGGUUCUCAGUAAUGUGUAGUAGCCCACUGGACGUCUGCUUGGCUUUACCAAUGUCAGCCCUUUGAAU
ensembl:lncRNA